GGCGUGGCCCCUACUGAUUAUACAUACUAAAAGUAAAAGUUAUGUACAAGAAACAGAAGGGGUGGGGAACAGAUUACAAAAGAAAGAAGAGAUAAUUGUUGCUGAAAGAGGCAGAAAAGUUAUCAUGUGAUCACAGUUGCCUCAACCUGAACAUAAAAAUAAUAUGUUUUAUGUACAUAUAUCAGAGUAUGGGCACUUAACAAGUUACCAUCACUUUUGGAGCUUAGAUGCCUUCUGCUUCCUGCGUGCUUCAUUAGACAUG
rnacentral:lncRNA from 1 species